GUGUCAGCCGCCGCGGUAAUACGGAGGGGGCUAGCGUUGUUCGGAAUUACUGGGCGUAAAGGGCGCGUAGGCGGUGGGGUAAGUUAGGCGUGAAAGGCCCGGGCUCAACCCGGGAACUGCGCUUAAGACUGCCGCGCUGAGAGUCCGGGAGAGGAUGGCGGAAUUCCCAGUGUAGAGGUGAAAUUCGUAGAUAUUGGGAAGAACACCGGUGGCGAAGGCGGCCAUCUGGCCCGGUACUGACGCUGAGGCGCGAAAGCGUGGGGAGCAAACAGGAUUAGAAACCCCUGUAGUCC
rnacentral:rRNA from 1 species